rnacentral:rRNA from 1 species
CAUUGGCUCAACCAAUGUACGNCCUGUACCCAUGCCGAACACAGCAGUUAAGCCCUAGAACGCCUGAUGUAGUUGGGGGUUGCCCCCUGUGAGAUAAGGUAGUCGCUUAGCU